GACGAACGCUGGCGGCGUGCCUAAUACAUGCAAGUCGAGCGGACAGAAGGGAGCUUGCUCCCGGAAGUUAGCGGCGGACGGGUGAGUAACACGUGGGCAACCUACCCUGUAGAUCGGGAUAACAUCGAGAAAUCGGUGCUAAUACCGGAUAAUCAUUUGAAGUGCAUGCUUCGAAUGUAAAAGAUGGCUCCGGCUAUCACUACGGGAUGGGCCCGCGGCGCAUUAGCUAGUUGGUAAGGUAAUGGCUUACCAAGGCAACGAUGCGUAGCCGACCUGGGAGGGUGCUCGGCCACACUGGGACUGAGACACGCGCCAGACUCCUACGGGGGGAAGCAGGAGGGAAUCUUCCGCAAUGGGCGAAAGUCUGGCGGGGCAACGCCGCGUGAGUGAUGAAGGUGUUCGGAUCGUAAAGCUCUGUUGUUAGGGAAGAACAAGUGCCGUUUGAAUAAGGCGGAACCUUGACGGUACCUAACCAGAAAGCCACGGCUAACUACGUGCCAGCCGCCGCCGUAAGAC
rnacentral:rRNA from 1 species